rnacentral:rRNA from 1 species
UACGUAGGGGCCUAGCGUUGUCCGGAUUUAUUGGGCGUAAAGAGCUCGUAGGCGGUUUGGUGAGUCGGGUGUGAAAUCUCCACGCUCAACGUGGAGGGGCCACCCGAUACUGCCAUGACUAGAGUCCGGUAGGGGAGUGUGGAAUUCCCGGUGUAGCGGUGAAAUGCGCAGAUAUCGGGAGGAACACCAGUAACGAAGGCGACACUCUGGGCCGGUACUGACGCUGAGGAGCGAAAGCGUGGGAGCAAACAGG